rnacentral:rRNA from 1 species
GAUGAACGCUGGCGGCGUGCCUAAUACAUGCAAGUCGAGCGAAUGGAUUAAGAGCCUGCUCUUAUGAAGUUAGCGGCGGACGGGUGAGUAACACGUGGGUAACCUGCCCAUAAGACUGGGAUAACUCCGGGAAACCGGGGCUAAUACCGGAUAACAUUUUGAACCGCAUGGUUCGAAAUUGAAAGGCGGCUUCGGCUGUCACUUAUGGAUGGACCCGCGUCGCAUUAGCUAGUUGGUGAGGUAACGGCUCACCAAGGCAACGAUGCGUAGCCGACCUGGAAGGGUGAUCGGCCACACUGGGACUGAGACACGGCCCAGACUCCUACGGGAGGCAGCAGUAGGGAAUCUUCCGCAAUGGACGAAAGUCUGACGGAGCAACGCCGCGUGAGUGAUGAAGGCUUUCGGGUCGUAAAACUCUGUUGUUAGGGAAGAACAAGUGCUAGUUGAAUAAGCUGGCACCUUGACGGUACCUAACCAGAAAGCCACGGCUAACUACGUGCCAGCCGCCGCGGUAA